CUCAGCCUGGAGAGAAGAAUACCAAAGAAGGGACGUGACAGCUGUCUUCAAGAAUCUGAAGGGCUGUCGUGGAUUUGGCCCAUGAGGACAGAUCUAAGAGUGGUCUGGAACCAAACCCACAAUAUUCCUGAGACAUGCCUCUUUUGAACAUAUGAAGACAAAAUAUAAUAACAGCUCUGCCCACAAGGAGUUUACUUCAUACCCACUGCAAUCAGCCUUGUUCAAGCUCUUAUCUGUUCUUGUGUAGGCUACUGUGAUGCCUCCUAAUUCAUUUUUCCAAGUCUAUUCUUUCCUUAUUCCAUCCUCCACAUCAUUGUUCAGCUGCGUUCCUGGAUCCCGAGACCUUCAGGAGUUGGGCAUGAUUGAAAAUGUUAUUCAGACCCUUCAGGCAUAAUUCAAUGAAGAGCUAAUCCAAGAAUACAAACCCCCACAAUCAUCUAAAAGGUGGCCUCAAAGGUUAUCGGGUCCAGAGGGGCCAAACGUAUCCAGCUUCAGUG